AUUGAACGCUGGCGGCAGGCCUAACACAUGCAAGUCGAGCGCGAAAGAUCUUCGGAUUGAGUAGAGCGGCGGACGGGUGAGUAACGCGUAGGAAUCUACCUAGUAGUGGGGGACAACUUGGGGAAACUCAAGCUAAUACCGCAUACGCCCUACGGGGGAAAGCGGGGAUCUUCGGACCUCGUGCUAUUGGAUGAGCCUGCGUAAGAUUAGCUAGUUGGUGGGGUAAAGCCUACCAAGGCGACGAUCUUUAGCUGGUCUGAGAGGAUGAUCAGCCACACUGGGACUGAGACACGGCCCAGACUCCUACGGGAGGCAGCAGUGGGGAAUAUUGCGCAAUGGGCGAAAGCCUGACGCAGCCAUGCCGCGUGUGUGAAGAAGGCCUUCGGGUUGUAAA
rnacentral:rRNA from 1 species